AUUGAACGCUGGCGGAAUGCUUUACACAUGCAAGUCGAGCGGCAGCGCGGGGGCAACCCUGGCGGCGAGCGGCGAACGGGUGAGUAACGCAUCGGAACGUACCUUGUAGUGGGGGAUAACUAUCCGAAAGGAUAGCUAAUACCGCAUACGCCCUGAGGGGGAAAGGGGGGGGAUCGCAAGACCUCUCGCUACAGGAGCGGCCGAUGUCCGAUUAACUAGUUGGUGAGGUAAAGGCUCACCAAGGCGACGAUCGGUAGCUGGUCUGAGAGGAUGAUCAGCCACACUGGGACUGAGACACGGCCCAGACUCCUACGGGAGGCAGCAGUGGGGAAUUUUGGACAAUGGGGGCAACCCUGAUCCAGCCAUUCCGCGUGAGUGAAGAAGGCCUCGGUUGGUAAGUCGUACUUUCUAGCCGGGAA
rnacentral:rRNA from 1 species